CACACACACACACACACACAGGCUUAUGUAACUUCAUUCCCUUACUCUUGUUGGUAAACAACCAAGGUUGUGUAACCCUAAUGUACCAUUGUUCUAAAUUUAUUUUCAAGUGGCAAAGGGUCUUGUAGACAUCUACGAGUUAUAAUUUGUGAAAAAAGAGUAAAAAUCUAAUUCCUAAAAUCUGGGUGCAUUGGUACUUCCAAACGUUUGGGAGGUGACAGUUGACUCCUGACCCUAGGAGGGGCCUCUGGGGCUGCAGGGUGGGGGACAGUUUUUGAGCCUUAGCAGCUCCCUCCUUCUUCCUGAGACAGCGCCCUCCCUGUGGUUUUGCCCAGAAAGCUGCGUUUCACCUCCUGUUUCAGUGAUCUAUGCCUUAGCCUGAUUCGAGACGUCUGCUUACCUGUAAAGCAACACUUUCUUUGCUCAGUACGGGAAUGUUACCUUGCUUUGUCCCUCUCCCUGCAUCUACUGCCCCCUCCGCCCCUAGUCUUCCCAGGCCAACAGGGUGGAAACGCUUCAGCUAGUGGAGGGGAGAUGCAGGGUGACCUCUGCAUAGAGCAGAUGAAAGGAGGGGUCAGCUGGAUCCCAGGCCACUUAUGGCCUGGGCUGGGGGUUCUUGGGUCUUGGGAUGCUGGGGACCAACAAGACGUAAAAACAACGUUCCCCCCAAAUCAGGAAGGGGGAACAGGGUUCUUCCAGUGAGGGUCCCUUUUGUUUGGGUGAUGAUGUCACCUUCCUGGUUCCAAGCUUGCUAGGAUUAUCUCUACUCUGAGUCACCAAUUGCUUAUGAACAGGUCCUCUAGAUAAGCUGCUGCAUUAGUUUUGCAUUUUCUUUUUUUUGACUCAAUGAUUCUCAUUAAAAACACAAAGGGACGGAUUUCCCCAGCAGGCUUAACUCUCCGCUCAUGAAUGAGGGAAAACCAGUCUUAUUAGUUUAGACGGUGCAUUUUUUGGGAAGCUCUGGGCUUCACAGCUCACCCUGUUUUGCCACCGCGUGGUCCUUCCGUGUCACUGUGAUGUCCCCCACUGUUAGGCACUCUCAUCUUUGCUGACAUCUUAAUGGUCACGGGGGUACAAACACAGAGCCACAAGGGAUGCAGAAGAGGGGAGACUGGGGAGGCAGUCGGGUGACAGCCUCCCUUGUUAGAGGCUUAGGAGGGCCCCUUUCUGAUGGUGUUUUGUUUUUCAACAAUUUCAUCGCCUUGGGGUUGCGCAUGAGAAAGAAAGUCUUGCUCUCUGCCUGCCCAGAGGCACGUGUCUGAUCCUCCCGGAUGAGCAAACCAAGCUCUACACAGCGAGCAGAACGAGGCCAUGGUGAGCCAGGGCAGGGACUGUCCCUGCAGUGGUCUCUGCUACAGUGUCCUCAGAACCCUGAGCCGAGGCCGGCACGCUGCAGCUGGAUGGGGAGACUCCGCGGGCAUGGAAACCGCCAGCCCAGCGCUCUGGACCACGGCCAAAGCAUGAAGUUCUGUCUGGCGCGUGUUUUCCCCCAACAGGAUCCAUGGGUGUUGUUGCCAUCAGAGGAUUUUCAGAUAUUUUAUGUUUUGUUAACCCAAGUCCUGCCUUCUGAGAAUUCCUAAGUACUCUAAAAACAUGCCCAGGGGAUUACAACCAUCUACAAAUGGAUUCACACAGAUGACCCCCCCAACCCCCUGGGGUCCUUUCUUUGGAGGUGUGGGGAGAGGUCCUGGUUGAGUCUCAGACAGCUCCCUCUGUGCCAGCGACCCUGCAGGAAUCGGGACGUUGGCCCCAUGAUAAUAGACGCCUGGGCAUCAGGAAUCCUGCCCACCAGGGACAGGACCCAGGAUGCCACCGGGCCGGCCUCCAGACCACCCUGCCCAGCGCGGCGUGGGGACUCCGGCCGCAGCCUGCGGACUCCCUACUUCUCAAAGUGAAAGGCCCGUCUGGUGGUUUAAGUCUUCUUCCUGGGGCUUGAAAGAGCUGCAGCCUGCCCUGGCUGGGACCAGCAGCCCCUCCAUCAACGCUCCCCGAGGGGACAGAGGACGUCUGUGUCGCGCGCACAGGUGGCCUUCGCCUGAGCUCACACCACAUGAGGCCGAGCCUUCCCGGGACUGCGUGCCCUCUCUCCAGGUCAAGGAGCCUGUGAGAGAUAAGGACGAGGCCAUGGAGCCGGGAUGGAGCUUGGCCGUGCCCUUUGAGCAUGUGACACAGAAGAGGCUCUCGCCCAGGCAGCCCCAGGACCUGCGUCGUCCACGCACGUGCGUGUGAGUGUGUGGAGUGCAUCACACCUGCAUUAUUGCUCCCUUGGGGGCAGGGACCACACACAACCCUGAUUCCCCGAAAGACCCGUCUCCAGGGAGGCUGGACCCUGACGUUACAGCCUGGGUCUGCGGCCCAGGUCUCCCUCUGGAGUGGAUCCUCUUGGACCAGUGCGGCCUCACACAGCUUCCUCAAAGAUCGAGCAAAACCAGACAUCCUUGGACAGAGGACCAGGCUUAGGUAGCUUUAUGCGCAGAUUCAAGGCUUUCCUGAGACCCCGGGCCUGGAAUAAAAGAUCUGGGGUUUGGGGGGCCAUGACGGGCUUUCCCUGGAAACCGUGCCGUUCACCUGAUCAUGCCUCCACCUGUGUGUGACUCGGUGCAGAGCUUCUGUUUUCUGUCAGGGCCUCUGCUAGGACCCAGGUCUCCGUCCUGCCACUGAGCAGGACGGAGCUGCAAGCUGCUCUUGGUGCUGCCGUGUCCUGUGUUCCCGGGGCUGCCCGGCUGGGUGAUUUGAGAUGCUCUGAUAGCCACAUUAGAAGAGUAAAAAUAAUCCGAUGAAAUUAGUAAAAUAUUUUAGGUAGCUUAUUAGAUUACAGUGUUACCCUUCAACAUAUAGAUGAUCAAUAUAACAAUGA